rnacentral:rRNA from 1 species
ACUCAAAUGAAUAGACGGGGACCUGCACAAGCAGUGGAGCGUGUGGUUUAAUUCGAGACAAAGCGAAGAACCUCACCUAGGUUUGACAUGUAACUGGAAGCCCGAUGAAAGUCGGGCCCCCUUCGAGGCUGUUACACAGGUGCUGCAUGGCUGUCGUCAGCUCGUGUCGUGAGAUGUUGGGUUAAGUCCCGUAACGAGCGCAACCCCUACGGUCAGUUGUAUCACUCUGGCCGAACUGCCUCCAUACAAGGAGGAGGAAGGCGGGGAUGAUGUCAAGUCAGCAUAGCCCUUACACCUAGGGCUACACACACCCUACAAUGGACCGCUACAACGGGUCGCUAAGCCGCGAGGUAGAGCCAAUCCCUAAAACGGUCCUCAGUUCAGAUUGGAGGCUGCAACUCGCCUCCAUGAAGUCGGAAUUGCUAGUAAUCGCAGAUCAGCAGGCUGCGGUGAAUACGUUCUCAGGUCUUGCACACACCGCCCGU